AACGUGGAGACAGGUGGUGCAUGGCUGUCGUCAGCUCGUGUCGUGAGAUGUUGGGUUAAGUCCCGCAACGAGCGCAACCCUCACCCCUUGUUGCUACCAGGUAAAGCUGGGCACUCUAGGGGAACUGCCCCGGUCAACGGGGAGGAAGGCGGGGAUGACGUCAAGUCAUCAUGCCCCUUACGUCCUGGGCUACACACGUGCUACAAUGGCCGGUACAAAGGGAUGCCACACCGUGGGGUAGAGCUAAACCCAAAAAGCCGGUCUAAGUUCAGAUUGGAGUCUGCAACUCGACUCCAUGAAGGAGGAAUCGCUAGUAAUCGCGUAUCAGCACGACGCGGUGAAUACGUUCCCGGGCCUUGUACACACCGCCCGUCACACCACGAAAGCCAGCUGUACUCGAAGUCGCUGAG
rnacentral:rRNA from 1 species